UUUAUGAUUGGUUGGAGCGUCCACAGAUCCCGGUCUUCUCUGACUGAUUGGAAGACCAGCUGACCCAGCACACGCCUAUAGUCCCGCCUCUUGCUUGCUAUUGGUCAUAAGAUGUCAUCAAUCAAGCGAGUGGGCUGGUGGAGCAUGCGCAUGGUUAAUGUGAUUGCGAGGAAGUGCACCGUGACUGAUGUAGGAAGCAAAAGGUUCGCCUUUGACAUUCAUAAACGAUCCCAGGAUGCUGUCAGCCAUGACCCAGGGAUGAAAAAGGGCGCACGGUGGCUCAAUGAUCAUGUAUCUUCACUUUGGGUGUGAUGAUGUACUGAUUGUGUUAGAAGGACCUAGCUGGACUUUUCCCUAUGCCGAUAAAUCACCACAUUCCUUUUGGUUCCUAGAAGAGUUGUUGGGGAAGACAAAGAAACAAACAUCAUUAGUAAUUUUAAAUCAGGGCAUGUCUCUCCUCACUGUGAAUAGUAUGCUAUUGUUUGGAGGCUGUGUGACUGGUUAAAGCUCUUUUCACAGUCCCUGCUCUGGAACAAUACGUGGGGUGUGUUUUGGUGGUUUUCGAAACCCAGUAAUGAUUGAGACUUAAUCUGGCACAUACAGAAGGUACCUUUUAAAGACAUCUCUUUGCGUGAACCACCUCUGGUUGCAGUGAGUUCUACAUUUCAACUGCUAUGAAUAAAGAAAAAGUAUUUCUUCCCGAUUGGAUUAAUCAAUAACUAUCUGAUUAUCAUGCCCUGAACCUGAAAUUCUCCCACAACUGGAGACAUUUUUUCAGCAUCUACCCUGUCAAUGCAUUUAUAAUUUCAAAGAUCAGAUCCUUACAGGUCAUAGUCAUACAGCACAGAAACAGACCCUUCAGUUCAACCAGUCAAUGCCGAACAUAAUCCCAAAGUAAAGUAGUCCCACCUACCUGCUCCUGGCCUAUAUCCCAACAAACCUUUCCUUUUCAUGUGUCUAUCCAAAUGUCUUUUAAGUGUUGUAAUUAUACCCACAUUCAUCACUUCCUCCGGAAGUUAAUUCUGCAUGCAAACCACCCUCUCAGAUUUUCUAAAGGAAAAUCACUGAGAUGUUAACAUUUUGUAAUAAAUAAUGUGUAAACAAACAAACAAACAAGCAAUAGAGCCAACAUCCUUCCGGCAUUAAAAUUUAGAAGACAAAUAAUUCCCUUGGUGGUGAACUCCCCUGUCACUCCUAGCCCCUAUGAAAAUGGCAGCUGUUACCACAGGCCUAGCACAGGGUGGAGCCACCAGCUGUCAGCCCUUUCACCUGAUGAAGGGGCAAUGCUAUGAAAGCUUGUGAUUUCAACUAAACCUGUUGGACUAUAGCCUGGUUUCAUCUGAUUUCUAACCUAGCCCCUUCACUGUAAGUGCGCAACUGGUCACUACUUAUUCGGGGUUCAGGCUUUAUGUCAAGCCUGCUUGCCAACUCCACCAGCUCUAUUCCUUUCUGUCCACCUGCUAUUUCUCAGACUGAGUGUGCUCACCAUUUUCUCAUCCACCCAGUGUAUUCCAACAGUAGAACAGCAAUGCGCGUGCUCCAACUGUAUGCCAUAACUGCGCGCACAGCUGUCAAGUGGUGAAGAUAGUGCACAUUCUGAGGAAGGGUCACUGGAUCUGAAAAGUUGAAAUGAUUUCUAUCCACUGAUGCUGCCACACCUGAGCUUUUCCAGCAAUUUCUGAUUUACAGCAUCUGCAGUUCUCUCGGUUUUUGUUAAGAGUGCACAUUCUGUCCUGCAGAACGUGCUGGGUGAGCAGCCCAACAUUACAGUGACAUUGUUGAGCAGAAAAUUCCCAUUUUCUCAAUCUGAGAAUUAUUGCAAUCAUGGGGGCGAGAACAAACAUGGCAACACAAAUAGGAGCAGGAGUAGGCCAUCUGGCCCCUUGUGCCUGCUACCACCCACUGUCCAUAACCCUAAAUUCCUUCCCUGUUCAAAAGUUAACGUAUCUUUGCCUUAAAAACAUACAAAAAGGUACUAAAUCUGCUCCCCCUUAUUUUGAGGCUAUGCCCUCUAGUUCUAAUUUCAUCUGCCAGUGGAAACAACCUCCUUGCUUCUAUCUUAUCUAUUUCCUUCAUAAUUUUAUAUGAUUCGAUAAGAUAUCCCCUUAUUCUUCCAAAUUCCAUUGAGUAUAGGCCUAGUCUACUCAAUCUGUCCUCAUAAGCCAACCCUCAACCCCCAUAAUCAACCUAGUCAGCCUCCUCUGCACCCUUCCAGUGCCGUUACAUCCUUUCUCAGGUAUGGAGACCAAAACUGUACACAGUAUUCCAGCUGUAGCCUCAGCAGCACCCUAUACAGCUGCAGCAUAGCUUCCCUAUUUUUAGAAAUAGAAGGAACUGUGGAUGCUGUAAAUCAGACACAAGAACAGAAAUUGCUGAAAACGCUCUUUCAACAUCUGUGAAGAAAAAUCAGUCAGGUGACCCUUCCUCAGAAGUAAUGGUAGCUAAGCCAUUUUCCUAGCUCAUGGACAGCACAGUAGCUCAGUGGUUAGCACAACUGCCUAACAGUGGCAGGGACCAGAAUUUGAUUCCAGCCUUGGGUAACUGACUGUGUGUAGUUUGCACAGUCUCCCUGUAUGCUGUGGGUUCUUGUUUCCACCCACAGUCAUAAAGAUGUGCAGAUUGCAUGGAUUGGUUGUGCGAAAUCACCUCAUAGUGUCCAGGGAUGUGCAGGAUUAGGAGGAUAGAUUGGGGCUGGGUCUUGGAGGGAUGCUCUUCAGAGUGGCGAUGUGGACCCCAUCGAUCAAAUGGCCCGCUUCCACACUUUAGGGAAUGUUAGAUUUGGGGUGACUCGAAUCACAGCAGGUACGGUGAACAUGUGACAGAGGAAUAUUUAAACAUUAUGAAUCUCAUAAAAAUGCACUGACUAUAGGUGAGAUUUUUAGAAGUUGUACAGGUGGGGGCACUAAAGAAAUCCUUUCAGACAGGUGAAAUAUCUGAAUUAUUGUGCUGCUUUGAAAGUAAAUGGGGCAACCAGUUGAAUCCUCCAUGUUGAUGUAGUACAAUAUCUAUGCCUCAGACUCCUGCUACUCAAUGACUCUAAAACACCUUAUUGAAAACUCAUAAUUUCAGAUCUGAGUUCUGGGUUCAGAUCUGAUACUCAACUCAGAUCCGAAAUUGGUCCAUAUCCGUCUAAAUCUUUCCCAUUCAUAUAUCCAUAUAAAUGUUUUUUAAAUGUUGCCAUUGUACCUGCCUCAACCAUUUUGCCUGGCAGCCCUUUCCAUAUAUGCACCCCUCUUUGUGUGAAGAAUUUGCCCCUCAGGUCCUUCUUAAAUCUUUCUUCGCUCAGCUUUCACCAUGCCUGGAAAAAUACUACAUGCAUUCAUUUUAUCUUUGCCCAUCAUGACUCUAUUCACGUCAGUAAGGUCACCCCUCAUUCUCCUACAUUCCAAGGAAUAAAGUCCUAUGCUAGCCAAGUUCUCACUACAACUCAGGCCUACUAGUCCUGGCAACAUCCUCAUAAUUCUUAUUUGCACACUUUCCAAUUUAACCGUGUUUCCUGUAACUGUGUGUCCAAAACCAUACACAAUACUCUAAGUGUGGCCUCGCCAACAAAUUAUAGAACUGUAAUAUAACGUUGCAACUCCUAUACUCAAUGCCUCGACCAAUAAAGGCAAGCAUGCCAAAUGCCUCCUUUACAUUGUCCACCUGUGAUGCCACUUUUCAUGAACUAUGUACUUAUACUCCUAGGUCUGUGUGUUCCACGGCACUCCUCAGGACCUUACCAUUUACUGUAUAAGUCCGAACUUGGUUUGACUUUGCAAAGUGCAAUGCCUCACAUUUAUCUGCAUUGAAUUGUGUUUGCCAAUCCUCAGCCCACUUCCCCAUCUGAUCAAGAUCCCUCUGCAAUUUUUGAUAACCUUCCUUGCUAUCAACGAUACCUCCUAAUUUUGUAUCAUCAGCAAACUUAAUCAUCAAGCCUUGUACAUUCAAUCCAGAUCAUUUAUGUAAAUAGCAAAUGACCAAGGUCCCAGCACUGACCCCUAUGGCACAUCUGGAGUCACAAGCCUCCAGUCUUCAAUAUCACCCUCUGUUUCUACCAUCAAGGCAAUUUUCAAUAUAAUUAGCUAGCUCUCCCUAGAUCCCAUGCAACCUACCAUGACCAGGCUGCCACAUGAGACCUUGCCAAAGGCCUUACCAAAGUUCACAUGGACAACGUCCAAUGCCCUACCCCCAUCUAUCCUCUUGGUUACCUCUUUGAAAAACUCUAAAAGAUUUUUUACACAUGACUUACCAUACACAAACCCAUGCUGACUGUCCCUCAUCAGACCUUGACUAUCCAAAUGUUAGUUGAUCCUGUCCCCAAGUAUCCUCUCCAACAACUUGCCUACCACUGAUGUCAGGCUCACUGGCCUGUCGUUCCCUGGCUUAUCUAUUUAUCCACCUUAAGACUGCAAAUGCCAACUCUGGUAAUAUGUAAGUGGUCCAAAACAGCCCUUAUUUUUUCAGCAUCCACGAUUCUCUCAGUUAAACACUGAGACGAAAUAUUAUUUAAAAAUAGAACAUAGAACAGUACAGGACAAUACAGGCCCUUCGGCCCAUGUGCUGAACUUUUACCCUAAACCUAAGGUCUAUCGAACCACCACCCCUACCUUAUACUAUCAUCCAUAUGCCUAUCUAAUAGCUGCUUAAAUGCCCUUAAUGAGGCCGACUCCACUACUAUCUCUGGCAAUGCGUUCCACGCCCCUACCACUCUCUGAGUAAAGAACCUACCUCUGACCUCUCCCCUAUAUCUACCUCCACUCACUUUAAAACUAUGCCUCCACGUAAUAGCUACCUCCACCCGAGGAAAACGUCUCUGGCUGUCCACUCUAUCUAUACCUCUGAUCAUUUUGUACACCUCCAUCAAGUCACUUCUCAUCCUUCAUUGUUCUAAAGAGAAAAGCCCUAGCUCUCUCAACCUUUCCUCGUAAGACCUUCCCCUCCAUUUCCAGGCAAUAUCCUGGUAAAUCUCCUCUGCACCUUUUGCAAUGCUUCCACGCCUUUCCUGUAAUGAGGCGACCAGAACUGGACACAAUACUCCAGAUGAAUACUCUAUCCACCUGGGUGACAGCUUUCAGGGAACUGUGGACGUGAACCCCAGGAUCCCUUCUGCUCCUCCACACUGCUAAGAAUCCUUCCAUUAACCUUGUAUUCUGCUUUCACAUUUGUCCUUCCAAAAUGACUCCCUUAAUUCCUUAAGAGGAGGUCCAAUCAUGCACCUUCCUGCAUAGGACCAUUGAUUUAGGAUACUUUCUUUGGCAGAUUUGACAAAUUCCAUCCCAUCCAGGCCUUUUAUACUCUAGGUGGUGCAGUCAAUUCAGGGGAAAUUAAAAUCUUCAACCAAUACUACAUAGAACAUUAGAGCACAGUACAGGCCCUUCGGCCCUCAAUGUUGUGCUGACCUGUCAUACCGAUCUCAAGCCCAUCUAACCUACACUAUUUCAUGUACGUCCAUAUGCUUAUCUAAUGACGACUUAAAUGUACUUAAAGUUGGCGAAUCUACUACCGUUGCAGGCAAAGCAUUCCAUUCCCUUACUACUCUCUGAGUAAAGAUGCCACCUCUGACAUCUGUCCUAUAUCUUUCACCCCUCAAUUUAAAGUUAUGCCCCCUCAUGCUCGCCAUCACCAUCCUAGGAAAAAGGCUCUCCCUAUCCACCCUAUCUAACCCUCUGAUUAUUUUAUAUGUUUCAAUGAAGUCACCUCUCAACCUUCUUCUAUCUAACAAAAACAGCCUCAAGUCCCUCAGCCUUUCCUCAUAAGACCUUCCUUCCAUACCAGGCAACAUCCUAGUAAAUCUCCUCUGCACCCUUUCCAAAGAUUCCACAUCCUUCUUAUAAUGCAAUACUCCAAGUGCGGCCGCACCAGAGUUUUGUACAGCUGCAGCAUAACCUCUUGGUUCCGGAACUCGAACCCUCUAUUAAUAAAAGCUAAAACACUGUAUGCCUUCUUAACAGCCCUGUCAACCUGGGUGGCAACUUUUCAAGGAUCUGUGUGCAUGGACACCGAGAUCUCUCUGCUCGUCUACACUGCCAAGAAUCUUACCAUUAGCCCAGUACUUUGCAUUCCAGUUACUCCUACCAAAGUGCAUCACCUCACGCUUGUCUGCAUUAAACUCUAUUUGCCACCUCUCAGCCCAGCUCUGCAGCUUAUCUAUGUCUCUCUGCAAUCUACAGCAUCCUUCAUCACUAUUCACAACUUCACCGACCUACACUAUUAUUCCUACAGGUAUCUGCAAUCUCUUGUACAAAUCUGUUCCUCUAGUACCUGCUGGCUAUUUGGGGGUCUAUACCACAACUGUGAUCAUCCCCUUCUUGAUGCCAAAUUCUAAAUAUGUGGCCUCAUUUGAUGACCCCUUAAGAAUAUCCCCUCUCAGCACUGUUGUAAUGUCUCUCUUAUCAAAAGGGCACUUCCCCCUCCCUGCUUACUUGUACUUCUGUCAUGCCUAUAGCUUCUGUACCCUAAAACAUUGAGAUGCCAAACCUGCCCUUCAUUCUGCCAUGUUUCUGUUAUGAUUAUAAUAUCCCAGUCUCCAGUCAAUGCUCUGAGUUCAUCUGCCUUAACAGUCAGGCAUCAAAAUAAGUGCAUUGAAAUAAAUGCACUUUAAACCAGAAGUCUUUUUCAGUCUUUACAGUGCCCCUGGCUGCAGUGCCCACCAGCUCCUUAGCCACGUUCAUCUGGCCAAUCUUUUCAUCUCUAUCCUCACUGGUGUGUGGCAUUGGGAAUAAUCCAUAGAUUACUAAACUUGAGGGUCUGCUUUUUAAGUUCUUACCUAACUGUUUAUACCUCAUUUCACCAUCCCUUUGUCUACCUAUGCUAUUUGUACCAACAUGCACAAUGACCUCUGGCUGUUCACCCUGUCCGAUCAGAAUUUCCUGCAACCACUUAGAGACAUCCUUGACCCUUUCACCCGGGAGCCAACACACUAUCCUGGUGUCUCAUCAGCAGCCACGGAAUCUCUUGUCUGUCCCUAUUAGUAUCACUCUCUCUGACUGCACCCUUUCUCCCUGUGCUCAGAGCCAGUCACAGUGCCACUGACCUUACUGCUGUUGCUAGUUCCUGAAAAGUCAUUCCCCCAACAGUACCCAAAGCAGUAUACCUGUUAUUGAGGGGAAUGGCCACAGGGGAACCCUGCACCCUCCACCCUCCCCUUACCUCAUCUGGUGGUCACCCAGCUAUUUGCAGCCUGCACUUAGGAGUGACACUUCACUCUCGGUCUUAUCAAGGAUGUUCUCUGCACCCGGAUGACCCUGAGUAGAUCUAGCUCCAAUUCCCUAACGCCAUCAGCCAGGACCUGUAGCCAGAUGCACAUCUCACAGGUGUAGCCACAAAGGACACUGGAAGUCUCCCUGAACUCCCACAUCCUUCAAGAGGAGUAUGCCAUUGCCCUAACUGCCAUCCCCACUGCCAUCAGUCUGGACAGAAAGAAAAUUGAGUCAAACAGCCCUUACCUAUACCCCUGUUCAGCUUUCUCAUACCAAAACCUCUCGCACAGGGCCUCAGCACUUCCACAGUAACACUGUCCCACUUUCUUAAUGGCUGUUCCAUUGUACCCCUUUACAUUGCCACUCAUCCACCUCACAGAGUGUUUUUUUUGGUCGGAGGAGGGAGGGUGGGAAACACCAAUGUAGUGUUUCAGGUUUAACCAAACCUUGACACCAGGUUCUCUCUGACCUGACGGACAGUCAUGAUGACUGUGGCAAUGUCUCCUAGAAUUCCACUGUGAUGACUCUCAGCUGCCCUCUGAUAUACCUUUUGGGGCUAAAAGGAUCAAAGUGUGUGCCACAAAAACAGGAACAGCAUACUGAGUUUGGUGAUCACCCAUGAUCAUAUUGAAUGGUAGAGGUUUGAAAGACCAAAUGACAUGCCAUUGUUCCUAUGAUCAAUGUUUCCUCAAGACGCAAACAUCGCAAACAUCUCAUACAUUUCAAAGAAUCCCCCUACUCUUUAUACUGAGUGCCUGGGAGCAAUAAUCAUGGUGACAGUAGUUUCUGGAGCACAGGACAUUCAUAGAAUCAUAUCAUCGAAUCAUAAAAUCCCUACAGUGUGAUGGAAUCUUCCAUCAGUCAGAUCUUUUGAAAAGUACUUUUGUAAGCUAAUGGCCUGAAAUUUGAUUUUUGUUUUGUUUCCACAAAUGCUGCCUUAUCUCUUGAGAAGUUGCAGUAUUUUUUUCUAUUUCAGAUAAAUCUUCCUGUUUAGCUUUGAAUUUAAUACAAGUCAAGUAGGAAACAUAGACACCAAUUAAGAUUGAAUUUACUUUAAUGCAAAACCAGUUGAGCUGGAGCAGAGGUGACAAAAAAAUUGCACAGUUGAACCCAGAGCACUGUGGAACAGAAAAAGGCCCAACAGAUUCUAAUGAUUCUAAGGGGAGAUUCUAAGGAAAAUUGGUUUCUAAAUGGAUGCUGCCCCUACACGGCAUUACAAGAAACAAAUUGUUUACAUAAGUUUGUCUUUGAGGUCUUCUCGUCCACUUUACAUAAAAAGGCAGUAUUUGCUUCAUAAAAACUGAAAGAACUACAAAUGCUGUAAAUCAGGAGAAAAAAACAGAAGUUGCUGGAGAGGCUCAGCAGGUUUGGCAGCAUCUGUGAAGAAAAAAGUCAGAGUUAACAUUUCGGGUCUGUUCUGAGGAAGGGUGAAGGGACCUGAAAGGUUAACUCUGAUUUUUCCUUCACAGAUGCUGCCAGACCCGCUGAGCUUUUCUCGCAACUUCUGUUCUUGUUCAGCAUUUGCUUCAUUCUUGGGAUAUGGGUAUCACUGGUGAAUCCAUCUGUCUAAUCCAGGUUUUGUCUUGGAGAACAUGGUGGUUCACUUCUUACUGAGUGCUGCACAUGAGGUGAUGAAGGUACAACCGCAGCGCUUUCAGUAAGGAUUUACUGGAUUUUCAUCCAGCAACAAUCCAGGAAUAGCGACUUAUAUCUGAAUCU